CACUUAGCAAAAUUUGGCUGUUACUUUCCCUUAGCAAAAAUAUUUUUUUACUGUUGAGUUAUCAAAAAGUUCAAUUUACUUGAUUUUAGCAAUAAAAAGGUUCAUUUUACUUGAUUUGAGCAAAACAAAAUUUUUCUAGCCGCUUUGUUUAUGGACAGCAGCCGCCGCCGGUUGAUCAAUAAAAUAACAACUUGACGCGAUUAAGUGCGGUUCCGGAGUUCGAUGCUGACGGUUCUCGUUGUGGCUAAGUAAACGACAAAAUGAUAGCCAAAUCGACACCGGAUUCGGACAGGUUACAACUGGCAGCGAAAACGACAGAUUUAAGCAACUGUCCGGAAAUUUUGAGGGUUGCAUCCGGCGAAUUCGUUAGUUAAGGUCGGAAACUUGGCAUUUCCCUUGCCGGAAGGUACAUUUCCAGAACGGUACUAAUUUAAUUACAUUUUACAAAAAAGUGUUUAAUAAUGUCACGAAAAAAGUAUGAAAAAUAAACUAAAAGUUUAAUGA